rnacentral:rRNA from 1 species
GACGAACGCUGGCGGCGUGCUUAACACAUGCAAGUCGAACGAUGAAGUUCCUUCGGGAAUGGAUUAGUGGCGAACGGGUGAGGAACACGUGAGAAACCUGCCUUUCAUUUUGGGAUAACUCCGGGAAACCGGGGCUAACACCGAAUACUCCGUCUCGGCGGCAUCGCUGAGCCGGGAAAAAAUUUCGAUGAAAGAUUGUCUCGCGGCCUAUCAGCGAGUUGGUGAGGUAAUGGCUCACCAAGGCAACGACGGGUAGCCGGCCUGAGAGGGCGACCGGCCACACUGGGACUGAGACACGGCCCAGACUCCUACGGGAGGCAGCAGUGGGGAAUAUUGGGCAAUGGGCGCAAGCCUGACCCAGCGACGCCGCGUGAGGGAUGAAGGCCUUCGGGUUGUAAACCUCUUUCAGUAGGGAAGAAGCGAAAGUGACGGUACCUAAAGAAGAAGCACCGGCUAACUAUGUGCCAGCCGCCGCAGUAA